UAGGGAAUCUUCCGCAAUGGGCGAAAGCCUGACGGAGCAACGCCGCGUGAGUGAUGAAGGUCUUCGGAUCGUAAAACUCUGUUAUUAGGGAAGAACAAAUGUGUAAGUAACUAUGCACGUCUUGACGGUACCUAAUCAGAAAGCCACGGCUAACUACGUGCCAGCAGCCGCGGUAAUACGUAGGUGGCAAGCGUUAUCCGGAAUUAUUGGGCGUAAAGCGCGCGUAGGCGGUUUUUUAAGUCUGAUGUGAAAGCCCACGGCUCAACCGUGGAGGGUCAUUGGAAACUGGACAACUUGAGUGCAGAAGAGGAAAGUGGAAUUCCAUGUGUAGCGGUGAAAUGCGCAGAGAUAUGGAGGAACACCAGUGGCGAAGGCGACUUUCUGGUCUGUAACUGACGCUGAUGUGCGAAAGCGUGGGGAUCAAACAGG
rnacentral:rRNA from 1 species